rnacentral:tRNA from 1 species
UUCCUCGUGGUGUAAUCGGUAGCACAGCAGAUUCUGGUUCUGCUAGUCAAGGUUCGAGUCCUUGCGAGGAAACCA